rnacentral:lncRNA from 1 species
UAUUGGAAUGCUCUGGUAAUUUGCCCCAACACAACCAUUGCUUUCUUUGCUGCUUCAGCACAUUGUAGGGAAGGUUUUAAACUUUUCUCCACUAUCACACCAAUAUCCCUUUCUUGAUCUACAGAUGCCAGUAAGGAUCCAUUCAUAUAAUAUUCAAACUCAUUAUUUUUCUUACCCAGGUGUAAGACCUUGCACUUAUUAACAUUGAACUCCAUGCCCCACCUGUCCGACCACACACAGAGAUCAUCGAGAGCUUUUUGAAGUACCUCUUUGUCAGCUUCUAUAUUAGCCUUGUGACCCAACUUGGUGUCGUCAGCAAACUUGUUCAUUAUUGAGAUGAGAGAGGUUUCUCCAUCCAGGUCAUUAAUAAAAAUAAUAAAUGCUAAAGGCCCCAGCACCGACCCCUGGGGUACCCCUGACAAAACUUCACACCACUCAGAGAAUGAUCCAUUUAGUACAGUACGCUGCAAUCUGCCACUCAACCAUUGAGAGAUCCAUUUAUGAACAUUACCUCUAAUGUUGUGGGCCUUGAUCUUGUCUAGCAGACGAUUUUUAGGCACCUUGUCGAAGGCUUUACUGAAGUCUAAGUAGAUGACAUCUACACUAUCUCCUUGAUCAAUCAGUGUGGUUACCCUGUCCAAAAAUUCUAAAAGGUUGGUAGUGCAGCUCUUAUUCUUCAUGAAGCCAUGCUGUGAUUGCUUUAUCAGGUUAUUAAGUUUAAGGUAUAAUAGUUGUCCUGCAGAAGUACUUCGUGGAUUAAUUGAUUUUAUGUUGUUUAACAAUGACCAUCAUUAAUAUAUUGUUAUGUUAUUUCUUGCCAAAAGCUUAGGCUGAACAUAAAUAGAAGUUAAGCACCGUAUUAAAAUAUACUGUUAGCCAGUUCUUUGAUAAUAAUACAUUAGUAUAAACUGAAACCUGAGACUACACAAUAUUUGCUCGUAAAUGUCGAGCCUCACUGGCUACCAAGCGCGGUCUAUCAUGUUUAAAGGCUGGUAUCACCUGUAUUCAAUAUUGCAAUUUAUUGAUCAUAUAUCCUCUAUUCAUCUGUUCAUCUAUCCAUCUAUCUAUCCUUGAUAUUUAUUUACUCUCCUUUCUACAGUCAGUUUUGUACACUGAACAGUUUAUCUUAAACAUUUGGCACAACAGUUUAGAUCAGUUUUUCGACUGGUUUUUUAUUAUUUUUUGAUUACGCAUUUAUUUAUCUUUAAUUUUCUUAAUCUAUUUCUCAAUUUGAAGUUUUCCCUCAGACUUCAUUCCCUUCAUUUCUCAUUCUUUCAAUCCAUAAUUCCCAUAAUCCUUUAUUUCCUUAAUCCGUUCCCUCAAUCCUUCAUUCUCUUCAUUCCCUUCAUUACUUUUUCAUUUAAUCCGUCAUACCGUAAUCUUUCAUUUCCGUAAGCCUUUAUUUCCUUAAUCCUUCAUUUCCGUAAGCCUUUAUUUCCUUAAUCCUUCAUUCUCCCAAUUCUUCAUAAUUCAAUCCUUUAUCCCCUAAAUCCUUCAUUCUCUUAAUCUUUCAUUCCUCAAUCGCUCAUUCCCUUAAUCCUUCUUUGCCACAAUCUUUCUCCUUCAUUCCCUCGAGCCUUUAUUUCCUUAAUCAUUCAUUCCCUCAAUUAUGCAUUUCCUCAAUCCUUCAUUCCCUUUAUUUCUUUACUGAUUCAAUCUUUCCGUCAUUCGCGUAAUCUUUUAUUCCCGUAAGCCUUCAUUCCCACAAUCCUUCAUUCUUACAAUUCUUCCUCAUUUCUUUAGUUCUUCAUUUUUUCUAUUCUGUAUUCCCUUUAUUCCUUAUGCAUUCAAUCCGUCAUUCCCUUAAUUCUUUAUUCUCUUAAUCCUUUAUUCUCUUAAUCCUUUAUUCUCUUAACCCUUUAUUCUCUUAAUCCUUUAUUCUCUUAAUCCUUCAUUCCCUUAAUCCUUCAUUGCCUCAAUCCUUCAUUCCCAAUCACUAAAUCCUUCAUUCUCUCAAUCCCCUAAUAUGUUCUCCAACCCUCAUCCUCGAAUCCUCAACCCCGAUAUUAAGACAAUUUUUAAUUCUGUCAGUAAAAUAUAUAUAUUUCUUUU